rnacentral:rRNA from 1 species
CCUACGGGCGGCUGCAGUGGGGAAUAUUGGACAAUGGGGGAAACCCUGAUCCAGCAAUGCCGCGUGUGUGAAGAAGGCCUGCGGGUUGUAAAGCACUUUCGGUUGGGAAGAAAAGUUUGGCGCCAAUACCGCCGAACCUUGACGUUACUGACAGAAGAAGCACCGGCUAACUCUGUGCCAGCAGCCGCGGUAAUACAGAGGGUGCAAGCGUUAAUUGGAAUCACUGGGCGUAGACAGGCAAGAGGUGGUUGAAAGCCCCGGGCUUAACCUGGGAACUGCAUUCGAUACUACAUGGCUAGAGUAUGGUAGAGGGAAGUGGAAUUUCCGGUGUAGCGGUGAAAUGCGUAGAUAUCGGAAGGAACACCAAUGGCGAAGGCAGCUUCCUGGACUAAUACUGACACUGAGGCAUGAAAGCGUGGGUAGCAAACAGGAUUAGAUACCCGGGUAGUC